rnacentral:rRNA from 1 species
GAUGAACGCUGGCGGCGUGCCUAAUACAUGCAAGUCGAGCGAACAGACGAGGAGCUUGCUCCUCUGACGUUAGCGGCGGACGGGUGAGUAACACGUGGAUAACCUACCUAUAAGACUGGGAUAACUUCGGGAAACCGGAGCUAAUACCGGAUAAUAUAUUGAACCGCAUGGUUCAAUAGUGAAAGACGGUUUUGCUGUCACUUAUAGAUGGAUCCGCGCCGCAUUAGCUAGUUGGUAAGGUAACGGCUUACCAAGGCAACGAUGCGUAGCCGACCUGAGAGGGUGAUCGGCCACACUGGAACUGAGACACGGUCCAGACUCCUACGGGAGGAAGCAGUAGGGACUCUUCCGCAAUGGGCGAAAGCCUGACGGAGCAACGCCGCGUGAGUGAUGAAGGUCUUCGGAUCGUAAAACUCUGUUAUUAGGGAAGAACAAAUGUGUAAGUAACUAUGCACGUCUUGACGGUACCUAAUCAGAAAGCCACGGCUAACUACGUG